rnacentral:rRNA from 1 species
UACAGAGGGGGCAAGCGUUAUUCGGAAUUAUUGGGCGUAAAGGGCGCGUAGGCGGCCUGGCAAGUGGAAGGUGAAAUCCCUCGGCUUAACCGAGGAACUGCCUUCCAAACUGCUUGGCUUGAGUCCGGGAGAGGUGAGUGGAAUUCCCAGUGUAGCGGUGAAAUGCGUUGAUAUCGUGAGGAACACCGGUGGCGAAAGCGGCUCACUGGGUCUUUGCUGACGCUGAGGCACGAAAGCUAGGGUAGCGAACGGG